rnacentral:misc_RNA from 1 species
GAUGAAGAACCGCAGCGAAAUGCGAUACGUAAUGUGAAUUGCAGAAUUCAGUGAAUCAUCGAAUCUUUGAACGCAUAUUGCGCUCUUUGGUAUUCCGAAGAGCAUGCUUGUUUGAGUAUCAGUAAACACCUCAACCUCUUCUUGAUUUUUCAAAAGGAGGGUGGACUUGAGCUAUCCCAACAACCUUUACCGGUCGGCGGGCGGCUUGAAAUGCAGGUGCAGCUGGACUUUUAUCUGAGCUAAAAGCAUAUCUAUUUAGUCCUCGUCAAACAGGAUUAUUACUUUUGCUGCAGCUAACAUAAAGGAUAAUUGUCCUCUUUGCUGACUGAUGCAGGAUUUUACGACACUUUAUGUGUUGUUCAACUCGAUCUCAAAUCAAGUAAGACUACCCGCUGAACUUAAGCAUAUCAAUAAGCGGAGGA